CGUCUCAGAAAAAAAAAAAAAAAAAAAAAGUAAAAAGAAACAGGUCAAAUUAAUUUUAAUAAUAAUCCAACCUAUGUUAACUAUUUCAACAGGCAAUCAAUAUAGAAUUAAUGGAAUUAUUAAGAUAUUCUUUUAUAUCUACUAAGUAAUAAAAAUCCAGUGUAUAUUUUAUACUUCCAGCACAUUUUGGUUCAGACUAGACACAUUUCAAGUGUUCAGUAGCUCAUGGGGCUAGGCAUAGGAAGACUAGAGGUGAACUUUGAGCAGAUGUGUGAAGGCGGUUAUGCAAGAUCUGGGGACAGGAGGCUUUGGACAGUGUGGCUGGAGUAGAGUAAGGAGUACAGAGUGACAAGAUGCAGCUGGAGAGCCAGGCAAGAGCAAGGCACUUAGGGUCUUGUCACAUAGGGUAAGGUAAUGGGAUUUUAUGCUGAAAUCUUAGAGUUGGUUAAUUAUCACCACAAAAAUAAAGCAGAGUUCGUUAAUUGGCUUUUUUCCUGAUAACCAUAACUCCUUGAAGGGACAGGAGUGGCAGCAAGACAAGUUGUAUGAUGACAACUAGGUCUCCAUGUUUCUCUAAGUUGCAGCAGAGAUUCAUCCAGAGACCAGUCUUAGCACCUUUCGUUGUUUCUUGGAAGCCUAAUUCUAUAAAAGAAAGAAAAAAAGAGAAGAAAAAGAGCUUAUCUCCAAAUACAUCAAGUUAUAUACAUUAAAUACAACUUUUUGUAUCUCAGUCAUACCUCAAUAAAGUGGUUUAAAAAAAAGAAAAAAGAAAAUUCAGGCUCACAGCCCAGUGGUCAUCACACAAAGACUAGCAUGAAUGAUAACAAAAUCAAUCUGGAGACAAUGACUGUACAGAAGUAGUAAAUGUAUAAUUAUUACAAGAAGGUAAGUAACUCCAGACUUCAUUAGGAAGUCACUGUAACAUCUGGGGCAGAAGGCAGGUUGCGGAAGGAAGGCAAUACCACCAAGACUGUCCUUUAAAGACAGCGAAAGGCACAGUGUGGGGAUUAUAAAACACCUUAGUCUUGCCUUCUUGCUAGGCAAAGUCGGUGACAAGUUUUGGCUGUGUCCUCACCCAAAUCUCAUUUUGAAUUGUAGUUCCCAUACUCCCCACGUGUUGUGGGAGGGAGCUGGUGGGAGGUAAUUGAAUCAUGGGGUUGGUUGCCUUCAUGUUGUUUUCGUGAUGGUGAAUGAGUUUUCGGGAGAUCUCACCAGAUCUUUACUCUGCUCUUCUUCCUGCUGCCAUGUGCAAAAGGAUGUGUUUGCUUCCCCUUCCGCUAUGAUUGUAAGUUUCCUGAGGCCUCCCCAGCCAUGCUGAACUGAGGAAGAUGUGGUGGUGGUGAAGAAAUAUGAAAGUCACUCUAGAAAUGUGUCAGAGAAUGAUUCACACUGAGGAUGAAACAGUAACGCCUCUUGUAUCAUCAGUGGCAUUUGUGUGGAACAUCCCUGUCACUGAUAUUCAGGAUGCUUUUGGAUAUGCUGACACAUGAUGCUGUCAUAUUACUAAUUGUGUUUAUGAUGUAUCUCAAAGCAUUUGCUACACUCUUUUUUUUUUGGUUGUUGUUAAAAAUGUUGUAUUGAGUUUUGGGAUCUAAAAUAUAAUUUUUUUCUAUAUAAAUAUAAUCUGAAAUGUUGAAUGAUGUUAUGGUCCUAAAUACAAGAGGUAACUUAGUGGGAAAAUAUAAAUCUGUGGAGUAUUCCUGUACUCGCUUUAUAAAGUAAUCUGAAGAACUAUUCAUCUCUUUCUCUUACCUGAAAGUUUUUGUGUAAUGUCAGAAUUCUUUUUCUUAAUUAAAAAAUUCCACUUUUAA